GCCUUAUACAUACAAAUACAAAACAGAGAUUUUUAUUUGGUAAAUACAUGGCAACAAAAAUAAAAAUAUUAUUCGAAUAAAUGGAAAAGGCCGGGGAGUGAUUGAUAAAUAAUACAAUAAUAGAACCACCGUUAUUAUUACUUGAUAGAAAGAAAAUAAUGGUAGAGCCACAAGUGCAUUUCGUUUAUAAAAAAUUAACAUAGCCAGGUGCAAGUGCAGAAUUUUGUUAAGGAAUCACAUUCUCCUGUCGCCCUGCUACCAUGAAAAAACCUACAAAAGUUUUCACAUGCAUAUAUCCUUGCUUCUGGAAUACAAUAACCUCUGUCUUUCAUUGUCCCAUGGCAAAAUCCGGUUACUGCCUCUGUUAUUUGUAAUUGGUUAUUUCCUACAAAUAUUUGGACAUAAAAUAAAGAUUAAAUGUCAUUUUUAAUUGUUAAUUAUUUAUUCAAAAAAUAAAAUAUUUUUUUGUAUAAUUCAAAAAUUUUUAAUUAAUCCCCAACAAUUCAUAUAACUAAUCAAAGUGAUUUUUAUAAAUGACCAACUGCUAAUAUAUCAUAAAUUAUUUAGUAAUAAUUAAAAAUUUUUAAAUUGUGGAUGAAUGUUUUGUCUUUAGAAUAAAUGAUCAAAUUUAAAAGAAACAUUUAUUCCAAAGUAAAUUAUUAUUAGAAAAAAUUAAAAACAUCAUUGAAUAUUUAUUGAAAAUGCUGGAAUUUAGUGCUCACCAAAACCUGUGGAAAGAACAAGUAGUAAGAGGAUGAGGAGAUAGAAUACGAUUUUCAUAUCGUUUUUUUUUUUUUGGAAAUUUAAUUUUCUUCUUGUU
rnacentral:lncRNA from 1 species